ensembl:lncRNA
UUUAAUUUUGCGCUUUAGAGGUUACUGAAACUGGUUUUAAAAGAUUUAAAGACAUCGCGGCUGUGUGGAAGCGCGUGCUGACAAAACUCUGACCGAGGAAGAUGAAAGAAUAAAAAUGCUGGAAAACGUUCCUUCGUUUCGCCCGCUACACGUUUAAUUCCUCACCUCAAAGCAGAGUUCACACAGAACGGUGUGAAACACAGAAAACAUCCUGAGAGUGACGGUUCUGCAGCAUUCCUUCUUGUUGAGAGAUCAGAGGAACCUGGCCAGACGGGUUCGAGCUGCUGGGAAGGAUAUAGUAACUCAUACGAUCACUCGUUACAUCUGUACUGAGAGAACUGCAUCAGUGAGCAGGUGUUCCUAAUAAAGUGACAGAGUAGAUUUGGUGAAAUAUAGAUAUAAAGCUAUAAUGUGUAAUGAAAAGAAAUGCAGACCGUUUGUGGAUGAAUAUUUUGUUGAAUUUGAGUAAUGAAAUGUUUGAAUAAUGAGCCCUGUCAUUUUCCACAUAAACACCAUGUAAUAUAUAUUUAAUGACGAGUUAUUUCCAAAAGUGCAAUCAUUUAAUUAAUAACGAGGAUAAAAAUAAUAGUUAAUACUACUAUUAUCCUUCUGUAUUUUUGCAUUACUUUUUUAAUUUAUUCAGAAUUAUUUUAGUUACUAUUAAAAUUAUUAUUAAUGAGAUGUUUAUUUAUUUACUUACUCCAUUACUUUCUGUACUACCACCACUACGGUUUCUAUCGAUAUGUAUUUAUUUAUUUAUUUAUUUAUUUAUUUAUUUUUAAUCCCAUACUUGUUUUUCCAGUGUUCAGCUCAAGUGUCAUGUUUGUAGUUUUGUUCCAGAAUUAUAAUGGUGAAAAUGAGACCAUCUCAGUAAUAAGUCUUAUUUAUAUUAUGGGAUGUUUGCAUCAAUAACAUUAAUCUCACAUUUGAAUUUUUUAGUAAACAGUUUCAGAGCAAUAGAGGUACAGUCUGAUUUUUAAUUAAUCUCAUUUUAAUUUCAG